CUACAUAGUGAGACCCUGUGAUGAAGAAGAAGAAGAAGAGGAAGAAGAAGAGGAAGAAGAGUAGGAAGGGGAAGGAAGAAGAAGAAGGAGAAGAAGAAUUGGGAUUACAUUGGCCUCCUAGAAUGAGUUAAAGACCAUUGCCAAAGGUCAUCCUGUCUCAGGAAAGUCUGCACAGAACUUUCCUGUGGAACAGCUCCUGCAGAAUCGGCACAGGUCUGGACUAUUUGGAUUGUUUCACAGUAAGCAUUGUACUUUUGAUGCUUUUGGUGCAAGUGUGAAAAAAAUUAUAGAGGGGGAAAGUAAAUCCAGCUGUUGGUUAAUCAGGCAAACCACUGUAGUCUUUGAGAUAAGAAAGUCAGAUCUUGGGCAAACUGAGCACGACCCAUGCAAGCAAAGAUGGUGGCAGAUCUGACCAAGAGCUGACCCUAAACUUCCUCAUACCUUCAUAUCCUGCCUUUUGUAACAAAAUCUCCACCCAAAGCAUGGAAAAGGAGGUCGACGUGGCGUGGGGGGAGAUGAGAAGAGAAAAAAGCACUGAGUGUAUGAAAGCCACCAACCCUUCUUCUCUAGGUAAGUUAUGCCCUGAUAUACUUCUUAGACCUCGUGCCAGGUGCUUUUGAAGGAUUACAGUGGGGAAGGGGCUCUGAAGACUGGGCAUGGACAUGUGUGAGCCCCCAUGAAGAAAUAGAAGCCCAGAGCCGCUCCAGAGAGGUAAACUGAAAGUCAGCUCCAGGGAGCUGCCCCAGUGGUGAGGGGCAGAUGGUUUCUGAAUGUUCACCAUGGAAAUAGUGAGCCUAGCUGCCAGCAUAGGUCCAUUGUGGCAGGAACCAACUAAUCAGUUCUGCUUUCCCUCUUGUUUUAAACUAGUAAACCUAGGAACCCUUUAUCCAUGUCUUUAACUCUAAAUACUUUGUUUCUCAUAAGAAUGGUCUUGGAUGAGAUGCAGGAAUGAGAAAUUAUGGGGCUAGAGACUGAAGGAGGAUUCUUUUUUUUUUUUUUUUGGUACCGAGGAUUGAACUCAGGACCUUGUGCUUACGAGGAAGGCGGUGGAACCACUGAGCUAAAUCCCUAGCCCCGAAGGUGGAUUCUUAACUGGUGGAUGGCUUUUCAAGUGUGUGGAUGAAGGAAUGGCAUCAAGGGAAAAACUAUGGACAGAAUAUAAAAUGCAGUUCUCAAUGACUUUGAAAAGCAAAAGCAGAAGGCAAAUGCAGGAGAGAAAUCAAAGCUUGCGGAAGUGGCCCAUUGGAGGGCUCAGGUGCACAGAACCAUGUGGCAGCGAUGUGAGCAGCUAAAUGUUGGCUAGAAAUGGGCAUUUCUUGGUGAAAAAAUGAGAAAGGGAAGAGAAUAGAAUGGAGGAGGUAGAGGCAAUUCUUAUUUUGAAAACUGAACUAACAUGGAAGCCAGUGCUGCCGAAGUUAAGACAAAACUUGUGGUUUAAAUUUAACCAAGUUGAUGAAUGACAGUGAUGCAGUGGUCAACUACCAAGAAGAAUGAGGAUAUAAAUGCACUGUAUAUGUAUCUAAAGUUUAAAACACAUGAAGCAAAAAUGGUGGGAUUGAAAGUAGAUAAAGAUGAACCCAUGGCUCUAGUUGAACAGUUCGACACUUUGCUUUUAGUAACUAAGAGAAUAAAUAAAUCAGCUGUGCCAUGGAAGCCUGGAGUGACAUUCGGCAGCAGUUUGGCAAAAAUGCCCCUGUAAGGCAGCAACUGCAGUGAUGCUGGAGGCCCCUGUUCAGCUCAGAGGCCCAGGCUGGCCAGGCAGCCUCUGAGGGCUCUGCAGAACAUCAACGAAUACAGUGCAGGCCACUAGCACUAAAUAAUCGGAAGCUAUCUUUAUUAUUUUGACACGGACAAGAAAGAGAGUGUAUGCCAGCAAAGAAAUUUAC